rnacentral:lncRNA from 1 species
UUUUUUUUUUUUUUGAGACGGAGUCUCACUCUGCCGCCCAGGCUGGAGUACAGUGGCGCGAUCUCGGCUUACUGCAGCCACUGCCUCAAGGGUUCAAGCGAUUCCUCUGCCUCAGCCUCCUGAGUAGCUGGGAUUACAGGCGUCUGCCACCAUGCCCGGCUAAUUUUUGUAUAUUUAGUAGAGACGGGGUUUCACCAUGUUGGCAAAGCUGGUCUUGAACCCCUGACCUCAGGUGAUCCACCCACCUUGGCCUCCCAAAGUGCUGGGAUUACAGGCAUGAGCCACCACGCCCGGCCAUCCCCAGGAUGUUUUUGCCAGGACCUCCCACCUUCUGAAUCAGAUGGUUCCUUUCAGUCCCAAUCCUGCUAGACUUCUGUAGUGCCCAACACUGUGGUCCAUUACCUCUUUCUUCAGCUUCUCUCUUCUCCAGACUUUGUGACCCCAUUGUGUCCCCAUUGUCCUCCUUUCAGAUUGUCCUUCCCUGUUCUCUCACAGGCACUUUUUCUUCACAUGACCACAGGAGGAACAAUUAACACUAAUUAAUCAAUACUCCAGGUGCCUGUAGUUUCAUGGUCAGCUGUGUUGGCAAAGAACCGUUCUGAAAGGAAGUCUUUUUUUGUUUUGUUUUGUUUGUUUUCCUUUUUUGUUUUUUGGAUCUUUUAGAAAAGGGUCUGCUUUCUCUCCAAUAAUUGUGUGGCAGUAAUAUUAAAAAGUGUCUCAAAAAUAGACCAUCAUUGGAGUGGAUGAGUCUGGAGAUUAGAGGAGAAUUGCCAUGUGGGGAAACCUAGCAGUUUUGCAGGUUUUCCUACUCACCAUCUCAGCCUACUGAGAUCUCCAUGGUAUCCUUUGAAUCACUUUCUUUUUUUUACCAUGCCCACUUAUAAAAAAUUAUUGAAGUUCACAUAACAUAAAAUUAACCAUUUUAAAGUGAACAACUCAGUGGCAUUGAUACAUUUACAAUGUCGCCCAGCCACUACCUCUAAUUCCAAAACAUUUCAUUUACUUCAAGGUAAUGAAUCCCUUAUCCAUUAAGUGGUCUCUCCCAAGUCGGCCCCUACCCUCAGCCUCUGGCAACCACUAUUCUGAGUUAUUUCACUAUGGAUUUAUCUACUCUAGAUCUUUCAUAUAAAUGGAAUCAUACCAUAUGUAACCUUUCAUAUAUUACUUCUUUUAGCAUAAUGUUUUGGAGGUUUUUGAGUCACUUAUUAACGCUCUAUUUUGUUCUCAGUUAAUAGAAAUCCCUGGGUACCUCCAACUAUCCGAUGAAACUAGUAAAUAAUCAACAAUAUUGACAGAAGUAUUUAAACAGCAGUGAUAUCUUAAGGAUGGUAAUGGAUACUGUUACACUAAAACUGGGACAUUUCAUCAUGUAAAAAACUACACAAAAUCUCAAACCAAAUUCUUCAUUAGCAAGACGCUACCAUAAGAUGUCUUAAGAAAAAGCAGGCAGAAGUGGGAAAAACUGACCACAGCCAAGGGCC